GAUCCUGGCUCAGGAUGAACGCUAGCGACAGGCCUAACACAUGCAAGUCGAGGGGCAUCGGGGCGAGGAGCAAUCCUUGCCGCCGGCGACCGGCGCACGGGUGAGUAACGCGUAUGCGACCUGCCCGUUGCAGGGGGAUAAUCGGGAGAAAUCCCGUCUAAUACCGCGUAACGCCGCGGGGCUGCAUGGCCCUGCGGCCAAAGGAAGCGAUUCCGGCAACGGAUGGGCAUGCGUGACA
rnacentral:rRNA from 1 species